rnacentral:telomerase_RNA from 1 species
UGGGACAGCAUUUUCGGAUGUUUGUUCACUUUCCUCUUUCGUAAUUGUUAGAGAUGAUCACGGCUUUUGUUGAUGUCUUUUGUUCGUUUGUGCCCUGCUGUUGCAGAGGAAUCAAAAACUUAUC